GUAGGUGGCAAGCGUUGUCCGGAAUUAUUGGGCGUAAAGCGCGCGCAGGCGGUUCUUUAAGUCUGAUGUGAAAGCCCACGGCUCAACCGUGGAGGGUCAUUGGAAACUGGAGAACUUGAGUACAGAAGAGGAAAGCGGAAUUCCACGUGUAGCGGUGAAAUGCGUAGAGAUGUGGAGGAACACCAGUGGCGAAGGCGGCUUUCUGGUCUGUAACUGACGCUGAGGCGCGAAAGCGUGGGGGAGCAAACAGGAUUAGAUACCCUGGUAGUCCACGCCGUAAGCGAUGAGUGCUAAGUGUUAGGGGGUUUCCGCCCCCCCCUUAGUGCUGCAGCUAACGCAUUAAGCACUCCGCCUGGGGAGUACGGCCGCAAGGCUG
rnacentral:rRNA from 1 species